CAUCGACAUAAACUCACAACCAUUUCGGGCCAGAAAAAAACACUAUAAAUUAUCUUUUGCCUUUCACGUUUUUGAGUGAUGUGAAGCCUUUCAAAACAUGUUGGAAGGUUCACGUGAAAGUGUUACAUACAUGGAAAGAGUACAACUCCGUGUCAGGAGAAACACUUUAAAUCAUCUUAUCAGAUCAACGUAGAUAGAAAAUUCAUGCUUCGUGCAAGAAGACGUAGCUGGAAAGAAAAUGGAGACUUCUACAAGUUAGAGCUUGGAGAAAUAUUCAAAAUUUCACAUGAAUCCCUGCAACAGGAAUGUACAAAUCAACUGAAAAUUCCUAUAAAAUGGCAUUCGUUCAUAAUACAGCAAUCACCAGAUCCAAUCAUGUGAACGAGGACAUGUUUCUGAAUUUGGUCGAUUUUCAAUUGGUUAUGAGUGGUUUCACUGCAACCGUGUUUCCUGAUUGAUAUUAUCUACAACGAUUUCAUUUCUUUUGGAUUAAAUAUUUUUUUAAAAGCUUAUCUAACUGGAUUGUAUUUAAUAUCACCUUGUAGACAUGGUUGGUCAAGUUGUUGAAUUGGGAGAGCUUGAAACAAUACAAUGUUCAGGCAAACCAAGGAGGAAACUUGAGUUUCAUCUACGAGACAUCAAGUCUGAUUCUCCAAAUAUUUAAAUUUAUGGAUUUAUAAAUUUUGUAGGAUUGCAAAUCCUCCUUGCAAAAGAGGAGAAGCCCCUUACUAUUUGUGAGUCAAGAGAAGAAAUACUUGAGCUGAAAACUAUUAAUUAAGUGCAAGAUAAGCGUGACAAAUGGCGUCUAGCGCCACAAAGAAAGAUUAGUGAAUUAUCACGAUGUUUUGAGUGGCAACUAAUGUGAAGACUCUUAAUGGACAAGAGAUUGAUGCACAUAUUUGGUGGUGUGAAGUAUGCAAGGAAAAUGUUACUUCUGUGUCACCAAGGUUUAAAAUUUAUUUGAUGGUGAAUGAUGAUACAUGAGAAGCAAGAUUUAUGCUUCUUGACUUGGUGGCUACGGGAUUUAUUAGUGAAUCUGCUACAAAAAAAUUGAUUGGAUAUUUGAUGAGGUACAUGAUAACCUACAUUUUAUCUUCCAAAUGACUUUUGAGUGAAUCGGUAACCUGUAUGUAUUAUUAAUAAUUAUUUCCAAUUUUCCAUCAGCUUGAAGAUCCUAAUGACUUGCUUAAGUUAUUAAUCAAGUUGUUAGAAAGACUUUUAUGUUUGAUGUCUAUGUUGAAAAUGAGCACAUUGUUUAUGGAUCUGAGAUUUACAAGGUUGGUAGGGUAUAUGAAGAGACUAGGGUCGGCCCGACCUACGGGCGGGAUGUGAAUUUUAAAAUAGUUUAAAAAGUUAUACGUAACAGUAUUAAAUAUUGUAUGUUUUGGUGAUUAUUUGACUUUUUUUAAUUAUUGUGUUUUAGUUUCAAUGCCGAAUUUGCGCUUUAGAGAUUGUUGGUA